rnacentral:lncRNA from 1 species
GUACUACUGGAAAUGGGAAUCGGAGAUGUACAAAUACUUGGCGACUCUCUCUUGGUUAUCAAUCAGUUGUGCAACGAGUUCAGAUGCAAUAGCUUCACGUUGGUUCCUUAUUGGAACAGGGCAUUAGACCUGUUGGACCAGUUUGAUAACAUACAUCUAGAGUACAUUCCUCGCGAGCGAAAUUUUGCAGCGAACGAGUUGGCCCAACUAGCAACAGGGGUAACAUUGAGAUAUGGUGUGCGGGAGAGAAUCCUUAAAGUCGAGCGUCGCACGCUUCCUUCAUGGAUGGCGAGAAGAGAUCCUCCAGAUGAUACCUUAGUCGCGACCCUGGAACCCAUUGACGUGGAUUGGCGCAUCCCUUUGAUCGCUUAUCUCAAGCAGCCAGAUCCCAUUGCCGACAGGAAGAUUCGUUUUCUUGCACUAAAUUACUUUCUUAGAGGUGACGAGCUGCGACGACGAGGCGAAGAUGGCAUAGACUUCAGAUGUGUUUAUGGUAGCGAAGCGAAACAACUCAUGCGCGAAGUUCAUUCCGGCAUUUGCGGUGCUCACCAAGCAGG